UGCAUGUGAAAGUAUAAAGUCCAAGAAGGAUGAAACUGCGAACGGCUCAUUAGAACAGUUAUAGUUUCUUCGAUUAGUAAGUACAAGGAUAGCUUUGUGAAUGAUAAAGAUAAUACUUGAGACGAUCUUGGAUGUAGAGACACAUUCAGGCCUAUGCAUCAUAAAAUGGUGUGAAGAGAAAGGAUAUCCAAACUGAAAGUGGGUAUCAUGACAAUUGUAGAAUAGCGAUAUUUAACAAGUAAUCGAUGAGAAUAUCUGAUCUAUCAACUAGUUGGUAGUAUCGAGGACUACCAAGGUUAUAACGGAUAACGAGGAAUUAGGGUUUGACAUCGGAGAGGGAGCUUUCAAGAUGGCUACCACUUCCAAGGAAGGCAGCAGCCGCGUAAAUUACCCAAUUUCAACAGAUAGAAGAGGUAGUGACGACAAAUAACUCACGACAUGCGUAAGCAUGUCUUGAAGGAAUGAGUAAGAAGCAAAGAGUCUUACGAAAUCAAUUGGAGGGCAAGUCUGGUGCCAGCAGCCGCGGUAAUUCCAGCUCC
rnacentral:rRNA from 1 species